rnacentral:rRNA from 1 species
GACGAACGCUGGCGGCGUGCUUAACACAUGCAAGUCGAACGGAAAGGCCUGCUUUCCCUUGUGGAUUGCGGGUACUCGAGUGGCGAACGGGUGAGUAACACGUGAGUGAUCUGCCCCCAACUUGGGUAUAAGCCUGGGAAACUGGGUCUAAUUCCCGAUAGGACUGCAGGGUGGUGCCUGUGGUGGAAAACGAUUUUCUAGUGGUUGGGGAUGAGCUCGCGGCCUAUCAGCUUGUUGGUGGGGUAAUGGCCUACCAAGGCGGCGACGGGUAGCCGGCCGGAGAGGGUGGACGGCCACAUUGGGACUGAGAUACGGCCCAGACUCCGACGGGAGGCAGCAGUGGGGAAUAUGGCACAAUGGGCGGAAGCCUGAGGCAGCGACGCCGCGGGGGGGAUGACGGCCUUCGGGUGGUAAACUCCUUUCGACCGCGAGGAAGCCACCUGGUUGGAAGGGUGGUGACGGUAGUGGGAGAAGAAGCACCGGCUAACUACGUG